GCAAACUUGGUCAUUUAGAGGAAGUAAAAGUCGUAACAAGGUUUCCGUAGGUGAACCUGCGGAAGGAUCAUUAUCGAGUUUUGACUGGGUUGUAGCUGGCCUUCCGAGGCAUUGUGCACGCCCUGCUCAUCCACUCUACACCUGUGCACUUACUGUGGGUUACGGAUCGUGGACCGGGCUCUUUGCGGAGCUUGUGAAGCGCUUCUGUGCCUGCGUUUUAUAACAAACACUUUAAAGUAUCAGAAUGUGUAUUGCGAUGUAACGCAUCCUAUAUACAACUUUCAGCAACGGAUCUCUUGGCUCUCGCAUCGAUGAAGAACGCAGC
rnacentral:misc_RNA from 1 species